AUCUUGCUUAUUGGGUGACGAGCGGCGGACGGGUGAGUAACGCGUAGGAAUCUACCUAAUGGUGGGGGAUGGCCCAGGGAAACUUGGAUUAAUACCGCAUAAGUCCUAAGGGAGAAAGCGGGGGAUCUUCGGACCUCGUGCCAUUAGAUGAGCCUGCGUAAGAUUAGCUAGUUGGUGAGGUAAGAGCUCACCAAGGCGACGAUCUUUAGCUGGUCUGAGAGGAUGAUCAGCCACACUGGGACUGAGACACGGCCCAGACUCCUACGGGAGGCAGCAGUGGGGAAUAUUGGACAAUGGGGGCAACCCUGAUCCAGCCAUGCCGCGUGUGUGAAGAAGGCCUUCGGGUUGUAAAGCACUUUCAGAUGUGAGGAAAGGUUACAGAUUAAUACUCUGUAGCUGUGACGUUAACAUCAGAAGAAGGACCGGCUAACUCCGUGCCAGCAGCCGCGGUAAUACGGAGGGUCCGAGCGUUAAUCGGAAUUACUGGGCGUAAAGCGCGCGUAGGUGGUUUCGUCAGUCAGAUGUGAAAGCCCAGGGCUCAACCUUGGAAUUGCACCUGAUACUGCGGGACUAGAGUACGAUAGAGGGGAGUGGAAUUUCCGGUGUAGCGGUGAAAUGCGUAGAUAUCGGAAGGAACACCAGUGGCGAAGGCGACUCCCUGGAUUGAUACUGACACUGAGGUGCGAAAGCGUGGGGAGCAAACAGGGUUAGAUACCCUGGUAG
rnacentral:rRNA from 1 species